rnacentral:lncRNA from 10 species
CCGAGCCUGAUGCUGUCUGGGGAUAUCCACAAACACGCUGUAUUGAAAACCAAAGGGCUCUGAGACAGUCCUCCUUUCUUGAGGAGACAAACUCCAGCCUGUGACUGAUUGCAGAGUCUUCUGGCAAGCUUCAGAGUAAAACAAAAACUAUUUGUGGAUGACAAAGGCUUAAAAUGGGACUGUGGUUAAUUUUUUGAUGGUAAUUUUCGGAAGUGAAAGAACUGAUGUGUCUAUAACAGGAAUAAUGGUGUUCCCAUGAUUUAAGAG